rnacentral:lncRNA from 1 species
AAUUAAAAAAAAGUUAUUUUAUUUAAAUAAUUAACAUUAUUCAAGUUUUAAAAUAAGCAUACACACACUUUAUCAUAGAAUUACUUUGAUUCUUUAUGUAUAUUAGGAAAACAAGCAGUAUUUAUGUAACUUUAUGUUGUAUUUAUGAAAGCACCAACAAUUCUGUAAAUACAGUUUAGUUGAUAACUGUUUCCAAGGAUAUCUGCUAUGUUGAACCCCUGAUAGACCUUGCGAUUCUUCUCCAAAUUUAUGAUGUGAUUAUUAUCACUAUGCUAUUUGACCCUUAAAACAACAACAAUACUAUAACUGGAAAUGUGUCCAAGAUCCUGCCACCUUUUAUGACUUUACCCAUUAAGUAACAUAUUAUUUAUUCAUUUGCUAAUAUGCCCUUCAAUCGAAAAUCAAUUAACAAGUCUGCAAUUCUUUCUAAUCUCCCCAUUAGUCCCGGUGAGAGGACUGAUUCUACUCAACUUUAUCAUAGCGGCAGCAAAGUCAUUAAGAAAGGUAGCACUAUUAGUACUAUAACUCGUAACCAAACUGUCUUGAGAUCCAUUAUUGAAAAGAACUUGAUCAGAAUGGAAUAGUCCUUUUUUACGUUGUUCUAGAAAUAUCAUUAACAACAGUUUUCAUCAACCUCACAGAGUAUCAAGAGGUGCCAAAUUGGUGUCACCACCAGAUAAAGGACAAGUUGUUUUUCUUAAGGUGGCAAAGUUUGGGUCAAUAUUGGUUUCAUUGUAUAUGCGAGUUCUGAAAAGUCGACACUCUCCUUGGCCUAUGGUGUGUGCACCAGAAAGAACAGUGAGGUCAUUUGCAGUUAGACCCUUGGCUGAAAACAUUGAAGUGAGGGUAGAUAGGUCAGAGAAUGGUGAUGGGAUUUGGUUGUUUGCUGCAGUUUGGCUUGCAGUUCUUGCAUCUCUUCUUCCAAGUGGCACUAUCCAUGAGGGUCCUCCAAGCUAUAAAUUAAUUAAUUUAAAUGAGUUAUUGAGAUUCAGAAACUGAUGAUCAUUCAAAAUGAACCAUAGUUAUGUAUUUACCAGAAAAACUCCAUCUCUUGCUGCAAGUGCUAGAAUAUCGGCACAAGAAACAGUGGCAUUGCAAGAAGCUUCAACGCUGGUUUUAAUGGCAUCAAUAACUUCGAAACCUCUAGCUGAAUUUCUGUUAGGUGCUGCGUUUUUCUCACCAGUAAACGUCGCAGUAUCAUCUAAUAAGAUUGAUCCAUCGCAUCCCUACAAAAGAAUAUUCUAACAUAUUAAUAUAGUUGACUUGCAUUAACAAAAUGUCGCAGUUAUUAACUUUGAACAAUGUGUUAAUAAAGUGGACUUACAUUAACAAAGCAAUCAUGGAAAAACAAGCGAAGAAUAGAAGCACCAAUUCUGGAUUCGUUUUUGAUAGCACUGGUCAUUGUAUUGCGUACAGUGGUUUCAAGGCUAGGGCAUGUUGUUGCAUAGAAGUUAUUAACAAGUUGUGCAUUGGUGCAACAAGCAAAGAGAGAAAUAAUGGAGAGUAUCACACAUGAUUUAGUAAAGGUAGCCAUAGAGUUAACAAAAGAGAGAAGCUAAGGAAGUAUUGUGAAGAAGCAUAUGAAAGAUUAAGCAAUAUAUAGAGAGAGGAAUUGUGAGGGUGCAUGCUGCAUGCGUUCACAAAAGAAGUUGAUACGAUAAUUAUAAUUUGUCACAAUUUUCAAAUUUGUCUGCUCAUUACGCGCUUAAAUUAUUCGCAGCAACUGGUGGAGGAAAUUUGAUAGAUAAGAACAAGAUAGUUACCCAAGAGUAGUUGACUUAUAGACUUAUACAAUAAUAAAACAAAGGAAAAAGCUGCAAAAAUGGAAGCUUAUGAAACAUUAACAAAAGUUUUAAAAAAAUCAAAGUAUUCGAAGUAGUCGUAGCUGGGUCGACAUGCAUGUUUAAAAGAGGGAAAAAUGUAUUUCAUGGUAUAUAUUCCAAUAUGUUAUAGUUAUUUAUUUAAGAUAACAUUUUAUAAUACAAAGUUUUUAUGACACCCUCAGUCUCAUAAAAAGUAUCUUAUUUGUAUUUUUUUUGUCUUAAAAUAAUUGUCCUUUUAGAAUAUCAAUGCAAUAUUUAUUAUUAUUUUUCCACUAUCAUAUCCCUAUUUAUUAGUUUUCACUUUAUCCAAUUACUCUUUUAAUUAUAAUUAAUAAGAAUAUUUUAGUAAUCACUUCCUCAAAUACCCACACACAUUUCCAUGAAUUCAACAUUGGACACGAGAAUUUGAUUCACCACUUCUUUAUUACACUCUUGGAAUCCAAUUAUGAAAAUACAUCAAAACAACAAGAACAAUGCAUUAAGAGCACAACGUCAACUUCAUGGAUUAACAUCAAGAUCAAACAAUUCUUUCAUCAAUUUUCUCUAGACCAAACUGUAUAACAGAACUUGUGAAUGCAACUCAACAACUCUUUCACAACAUCAUUCUUUUUUUAUGUGGAAAGUAAUUCAAAACUACAAUUGUAGAGCAUACUAAAAACUCUUAUAUCCAUGUCAAACAAAAUGGUCUGAUAUUAAUUAUUGAGAAAAACUAAUGAAUGGAGAAAAGAAAAACACAACAACACAAGAAUUUAAUGUGAGCACUUCAAAACUGGAGAAAAAACAUGAUCCUUGUAAAAUGACAAUCAAAUAAUAACAUUAUAUAAAAAUUGUUAUAACACAUAAUUUUUCCUUGAUCCAUAAUACAUCAGCACCUCCUAAAAUAAAUAUUUAACUGCAUCUCAAACACUAACACAGAGUAGAAGAGAACAAUAAAAGUUAAAUACAAAAUUAAAAUAAUUUUUACUAAUGUAUUUUGUAAUGAAAAAUUUGAAUUCUUUAUAUAGACUAGGACUCUCUUUCUUUAUGGAAUUAAACAAUAUGAUACUUCUUCAAAAUGUAUAUUUUCAAUCAAUAUCAAUAGAAAGUUUGAUAAUUUAUUCAAUAUAAUUUAUAUUGUUUUAGUAUUAAAAAAUUAAAAUUAUAUAAAUAAUAAAUAUUUAUUUAUCAUUCUAUAUAAAAUUAUUUUUUUAAAAAAUAUUUAAAAAACUGUAAAAAAAAAUUUAAUUUUCUCUUGUUGAAACCCUCAAAUUCCCUAUACUUUUUCAGACUAGAGUCUUUAAGUUGUGUACGCUUUAACUUUUGUGAUUUUGCCUCUCAAUUAUAAGAUAUUUUUCUAGAUAAGUAAUAAUAGGUUGUUACGUUUACACCAAAAAUCUUUUACAACAUAUUUACAGUGGCAUUGCCAUGUGUUUGUUUGUGUCAACUCAAUAAAAAAUAUAAUAAUUGAACAUUCUAAAAAAGACAAAACCGUAUAGUAUUAGGGUGUAAUUGUUACGUUGAGGGUAAAAGUAACAUUUCUCAAGUAACAAUUAUUUUUUAUUAAAAUGGCAUUUGUUAUUAAUCUGUUAGGUACUUGCCAUAACAACAGUUAAGAAAAAUGUACCUAUCAAAGUUCUGUCAUGUGUGCAUUUCAUUCUUUUAUGAAGUGGGUCCAUUUUGUGUUGGGUUAUGACUUAAAGAAUAAUCACUAGAGCUGUAAAAUAAGCUCCAAACCUAUAAGUCUUAUUUAGUAGGCUCUUUAAUCAUAAUUUUCUUGUUGAACUUUUUCUUUUAUAACAACACAACACAUUGCGUCAUUAUAUCUUUGUGAAUCCAAGUCAGAGGUUUGAUGGACCCCAUUAUUUUUAUUUGCUUUAGCAUUUUAAGGUAGUUUUGAAUAAAGAAUGGUACUAAUAGCUAAUUGGUUGGUUGGAGAAUUUGUUAUGCCAUUUAAUUAUUCUCUAUGUAUUACUCUCCAUUAAAUAAAUAAUAUUAUUACUAUAUUAUUAUUUAUGUCUGUAUUUCAAAAUGAAAAGAGCGUGGCAUGUUCUAUAGCCCAAAAGAAUAGCGUGGCAUGCAAAAGCUCCAAUCAUCCAUUCAACAUAAGUUGUUCUAUACUAAUCAUUGAUAAUAUUAUAUAUUUUUUUAUUGUAUCUUGUCUUUUAUUAGUUUGACUAGUUUAUCACUCUAGUCGAAUGCAAUAGAAAGCAACUUGAUUAAAGUUGGGUUAAUUAGUCCACAUAUAUCCUCUCCAAAGGAGAUGCUCACCACUAACAUUACAAACAACUUCCAUUUUCACACUAGCAAGGGACCAUAAUUUUAAGAUAUUUAGUUAAAAUGCUCAAACAAGAAUAUAUAUAUAUAUAUAAUAUAUAUAUAGAGAGAGAGAGAAUUGAUUUUCUAUUAAAAAAAUAUCACGUUGAUAGAACGUUCAAAAAUGAGUUUAUGAAUAGGAAAGUGUUGUCUUUACCUUACAAGUCAAUUUAUAAUAGAUGAAUUAAAUCUAGCCAAAAUUUUCAGAUGAGAAUCGUGUUUAUUUAUUUCAUAAUUUGUUUAACUAUUUAUAAUUAGAUUAUGAGACACAUUUUGAUGUGCUGUAUUGAACAUGUUAGAGUCUUAAAUUGAAUGACAUGGAGUUUGGGACGUACACGGGUGGAGUUGGGAUGUAUUAGUUAGAAUUUUUUAUAAAAGUAAAAAUCUUAGUAUAGUUAGAUGAACUCGAGCAUGUUAAGGCCAGCUAGAAGUUUGUCGAAAUGUUAUGGUACAAAGGUCGAAGCUGAAAUAAAAGAAGUGCUAAUGGAACUUAGGAUUUUUUAAGAAAAAACAAUGUUUCCCAAACAUUUUGAUGGCGUAAAUAUUUGAGUUUUUCGACUAUGUUGAACAACUUUUAUUUGGGCUCAAAGAAAUGUUUUGUUCAAUAAAUAACUACUUCACAGUUUUAUCCAAGAAAUACGCGGAGAACAUUCAGAAGCAAGACGCAUGCAAGGAUCUACGUGGUGAAGACUAGAGAAUUAAAUGUUAGGAGCAGUUAUUUUAUACUUGUAUAAGUAGAGAUUUUAAUGUUAGAAUUAAGGGUGUUCAUUUGAUUUCACUACAAAAUCUCACAAAUACUCAAAGUACCAUCAUUAGAGAGAAACAUGUUUACUGAGAAAUGUAUGAAUCUUGAAACACCAUUUUCAUUCAGAUGAAAAGUAUUUCAUUUCAGUUUAUGAUCUUUGUCAAUUUUCCUUUAUUUCUCUUCUAACUGCAUUGUUAUUGCACUUUUCACUUUACGAACUCUUUUCUUUCUUAUACACUGUCGAAAUCACUAUUUUUCUUAACUAUUUCGACUAAGCCAAAAUCUUUCACAACCUUUACACAAACUAUAAAAAAAAGAUUUUAGCACUAUGUCCUAAGAUUUCUUAAUUGAUCCUCCAAGUAACAUUUAAUAAGAGACUAUUGGUUGUUUAUCAAAUUUCUUAGUAAACAGGAUGACAAUUGGAUCUAUUAACUAUAAGAAAUUUGACUUGUAACGAUAUGUAAAUAUCACAAAACCGUGGGUAUAGAGUUUAGAACAUAUACGAAGGAAUGUCUUGUUCCAAGUACAUUCCUUAACAUAUAUUCAUGAAAAUUUUAGGUUCUAAUAUAUAAUAGUUUGAGAUCGUUGGACAAAAUUUUAAACUUUUACCCACGAAAAUUGACACUUUAAUAAUCGGUUUACCACACAUUAUAUCUUCGGCACAUCUUGAAAUUAUAUUUUUUUAAUAAUAAAAAAAGUAUACUUUUAAAUAAUUUUUAAUAAUAAAAAAAUAGUUUUUCAUAAUAAUAAAAUUUAUAUAAAUUUUGAAUAAUAAUACAAUUUUUCCAAUAAUUUAUUUACACAUCACAACCGCUAUAAUUAUAAAAGAAAAUUUUAAUUAUAUUAAAAAACUAAUAAGUCUUAAAACAUCUCAAACUAGCAAAGUACAUUAAAACAUAGAAACAAUGUCAUCUAAAUAAAUUUCUCAAAUUGAAAUUUCACCAAAUAAUUUAGAGCAGAACAAAAAAAUUGGUACUAACUUCAAAGCAAUAUGACAACCACUAUUUACUUUCUAAUCCAUCCUAAAAUUACAAAUAAAAAAACUAUCCGCCAUUAAAAUAUACACAUGUGCAUGACAUCUCUACCAAACAAUAAAUGUAGCGGCAUACAACCAAAUCUAACUAGACAGUAGUCGCUCUAAAACCAGCCAAAAAGAAUAGCAAAGAGCCCAUGACACAAUACAUGACCAAAAACCUAUCCAAGAUAAAACCAGAUUAUAAUCUUUGUCUCUUCAAUCUUUAUCGGUGCCUGGACUUGGAGAAUUUGUUUGGUCGGGGAACUAUAAACAUUUGUAACCUAGAAAAGAAAAGAAAAUUACAAACUCAAUUUAAUUGAUGUUUUCAUAAUAUUUGAAAUAUGAACUCGAAGAGUAAAAUAAAAUAUAUCUAUAUGACAUUCACAUAUUCCCCAACAAAUCAAUUUUGAAUCAAUGACAAUACAUUUUCCAACAUCACACUUAUACUCUCUUGUUUUUGUUCCAUUUUCUUAAUUUUAUCGUAUAACUCUUGAUUUUCAAACAAAGUAGCUUUCAAUUUUUUGGGUUUUCAAAUCUUUCUCAUAAAACACAUGUCCUUUCUUUUCAGAUCCUUAUACUUGGGAGUAUAUAAGAUUCUUCAAAGACAUAUGACUUUGUAUCUCUUGGAUUGAUUGAGAUACUCCAACCUUAUUAUCAUGUUUGUUUAGUUCUUUCUGAAACAUUAAAAACAAAUGAGACGAAAAUAAACAAUAACAACUUCAAUCUAAUCAUUUCACUAAUUUCAAAACAUCAUAAAUAUAUUGACACUAAUUGGAACUAAUUACAAUUGAAUCCAAUCAAGUCAUGUCAUGGCAUUGCACAAAUUAAAUACAGUAGAAAACAACACUUGGAGCUAAUAUAAAAAAAAAACUCUAAUACAACAACAAUAAGGAUCACUCGGGGAGCAUGUUAACGCCUAAUAUACAAAUAAACACAAAUAGUCAAGGAUAUUAAGGAGAACUUGAAACUAAUAUACAACUACUUUAAGUAACGAGAGUACGAGCCAAAGUUCCACUACCAUGAGAACCAAGUACUUUAAAGAAGCAAAUGGCCACAACCAUGAGGACCAAAUACUUUAAAGAAGCAAAUGGCUACAACCAGAAAAAUCAAAAGGCAGCAAACCAUAAGGUACAAACCACAAAAACCAAAAGACACAUUGUCAAAGCCAAAAGUUACACACUAUAAGAAAAUUGUGAUCUAGCGUCGGCUAAAAAUGGACACCGUAAAUCCAAAAGGUGGAUUAUUAGCGUCGGUGUCGGGGCAGUCGUCUCCAACCCUGAAGUUAACAGUAGCGUCUAGCCGAUAUAAGCGGUGUCGCUUUCUUGAGACGCUGUAGCAAAAGCAGGGCAUAAUUGAAAAGUCGGCACUAUUUGGAUACCUAGUGUCGAUCCACAGAAACACAAUCUUGUUUAUGUAUUUUACUUAAGCUUCGGCUUAAGUCAACACUAAUUAUUUAUGUAGUGAUCACCUUCAAGAUGUUGGGUAUCAUAUUCGCAUGAAAUUUAAUUUCGCCUUUGACUAAACUAAUAGGAUUUUAUUUAAAAUACAUGUUUUAGGAUAGACGAGAAUAUGUUUAUUUUAAAUAAACCAUACCACAAAAUCUAUCAAAAUAAAAAGUAUUCUCAAAACUUAUCAAAACAAAUAAGGUAUUAAAAUAAACCAUAAAAAUAUUUUCUAUAACCAAUAAAGCAUCAAAAGUAGUAUGAGACCAAUAUUAGAUAUGAUGUAAAAUGCCAAUCCGAACAACAGGAAGAAGAGAAUUUCUUUUUGUACAUGUAGAGCAUGCUGAAUGGAUAGAUAUGUUGCAUCCUCUAUAUGAGUGCCUUACUUCUCUCAAAUUGUAGCUAUCUUAAAAUAUUAAGAAAUUAUAUAAAGAAAGCCAUUACACGAAAAAAAUUAAGUUAGGGAAAGAAAAAAUUAGUGUGUAAACAACACUCUCUUCUUAGAAAAAGAUUUAAAUUAUAUUUCUCUCCUAUCUUACUUUUUAAGGUAGAUACUGUAUCCUUAAAUAUGAAUAUAAAUAUUUCACUACUAUAAAAUAUAUUUUCCAUAAUAGAGUAUUAUUCCGUAUAUUCAAUCAAAUAAAGUAAUAGGUAAUAUUCAGCGCAUGUAUUUUGUUUUAUUUUAUUAAAGGAUUUUUCACUUUGGUCUUUCAUAACAACCGUGGUGAAAAGUAGGAAGACGUCACUUUUAAUCACGGUUGAAAUUUCAAUCGUGCUAAGAAAUGGCGUUCGGUCAUGAGUUCAAAUUUCAGCACCAAUAUUUUUUGUUUUAUUGCUUAUUUUUAAGUCACUUUUCACUAUGAUUGAAAUUUCAACUGUGGUGAAAAAUUGUGUCCUCUUUUUUUUUUUUAAAGAUAUAUAACAUUUUUAGUUCAUUCACUUGUCAUAGAUGUACUUAGACAAAGUCACCACUACAAAUAAACUUUUUUUAAAAAUAUAUAUAUAUAUAUAUAUAAUAUAUAUAUAUAUUCUAUAUAUAUAUAUAUAUAUUAUAUUUAAUAUUAUAUAUUAUAUAUAUAUAUAUAUAUAUAUAUAUAUAUAUUAUAUAUAUAUAUAUAUACUCAUUACAACAUUGUUUACACAAAAUAUUAAUAAAUUAAUUUGUUUACAACUAUAUUGUUGACACAAAUAUUAUAUUUAUAAUACUAUUAUUAAAUUGCUAUUUCCUUUACAUUUUCUUCUUUAUUUCUGUAAGUUUUAAUUCCCUCCACGUUUUUAAUAUUAAGUAAAAAGUUUCAUCUUUUGAUUUUCAAAUAUUUUAUUUUUAAUAAAUAUAUAUAUAUAUAUAUAUAUAUAUAUAUAUAUAUAUAUAUAUUAUAUAUAUAUAUAUAUAUUUUAUUUAUUUUAUUUAUUUAUAUAUAUAUUUUAUUUAUAUAUAUAUAUAUAUAUUUAUAUAUAAUAUAUAUGUAUAUAUAUAUAUAUAUAUAUAAAAUUGAUAGCACCAUUUUUUUUAAUUUUUAGAUUUUAUUAGAUAAGUUUUAAUCACUAUUUAAAAUAUUAUUUUUUAUUGAUUCACACAUUAUUAAAUAUAUUAAUUAUUAUCAUUACUAUUAUCUAGAAAAAUAUUGGUGAAAUAAAAUAAUAAAAAUUGUUUUUUAAAGAAGAAAACUUGUGAUUUUAUAUAAUUUAAAUUUAAUUUAAUUAAAUGACGAUUAAUGACAAUUAGUGCAUAAAAGAGAAGUGAAACAUUUAUAAUAAACUCUCAUAAUUUUUAUCAAUAUAAAUUUAUCUCUUAAUUAAACACACAUAUUAAAAUAGCAUAAUUUUAAAUCAAUUCGUUUAGAUAACAAAUAAUAUCAUAUCUAAUGAUAAUUAGUGUAUAAAAACGAAUUGACACGUUCUAUUCACACGAUUCUAUUUAAUAACAUAAUCAAAUUAAUUUCUUGUGUAACGUGAAUUCAUUUAGUGAAAGAGAUUUUAAGUAUAUUGUUUGGAGUUUUUUUCUGAAUGGUUUUGCUGUGUGUUUAUUACCUAAAAAAAAAUAUUUGCGGGAUGUUAUUGACUCUGUAACUCAAAAUAAAUAAAAUAAAAUAAGUUUAAUAUUUUAUUUACCUCGCAAUUUAAGGUGGGAGAUUCAAAUUUUUUGAAUUAAAUUACAAAAUGAAAAUCGCUCCGCAAUAUUUUCAAAAAGAAAAUCUAUUUUUUUGGGGGGAAUUAACCCGAUUGAAUUGCAACAUGAAAAACACUUCACAAUAUCUCAAUGAUCCCAAUGUUGCAGGUUGUUUUCACCCCACAAAUUGCUGUGUUGCUUUCAGCCGCAACAUUAAUUAUAUAUAUCUUAUUAUUUACAUAUCCGACCUCUUCAUUCAUUCACUCAGACCACUUCACCUAUCUUCUUCUCCUCUUCAUCUCUUUUUCUCAUCACUUCUUCUUUUCUUGAAAUCCAUUUCAACAAAAACUAAAUCUUCCAUUUUUAACAAAAUCAAAACUGAAAGUUACCAUUUUUUAAAAUCAUAACUCAUUUUUCAACAAUACAAUCAAUUUUUUUAGAUUUUCAAAAAAAUAACUCAUCAAUACAAUUAAUAUUUUCCAGAUUUUCUUUUGAAUGCUCGGGUUGGAUUCAGGUUUACUUCAAGAUUUCCAUCAAAUUCGUUUAUCUCUUCAUCUUUUUGAGGUACAUAUCUCAAAUUAAUUUUUUUUAAAUUUAUGUUGGAUUGCAUGUAUGGGUGGCAAAACGGGCUCAACCUAUUAGAUAUGCUCGUUUUACCCAUACUUUAGUAUAUGGUGGACUAAGGAUUUAGGUCAUCACCAUUUAAUGUGUCUGCUCCGUUUUACUCAUAACUUCUGAGUUGUAGUUGGUUCGGAUUCAGAAGCAGAAGCUUUUGAGGUUACUGUUCUAGAAAUGAUGUUUAGCUUCUGAGUUGUAGUUGGUUUUAAUUUUUCAUAAGGUGCACUGCUCAACUAGCAUUGGUUAGCAAUUUAGCCUACGUGGCAAUUUUGUUUGUGUAUAUAAACUAAACGUGUAACAGAAUUUUAUAAUGCAAUGUGAAUAGAGUUUCUCUCUCUCUCUCUCUCAAAUUUAGUUAGAUGUAACACCCAUAUAUAAUAUAUGUCAAGAAUACAUAUUAUACAUAGUGUAAAACUUGUACUGAAAUACAUAAGCGCCUAGCAGCACAGUAUACAUAUACAAAUACAACAUGGCAUAAAAUGUACACAAAAGUGUCCAAAAUAAAACUACUGAUCUGGAUCAUUAGAUAAUGAUCCCAAAAAUAUCUACACAGCGGAAAGGAAAGCAAUCAUUCAUCAAGUAAGCAAGACAUCACUCUAUCUUUCCCUUACCCUUCUCAUGCUCAGAACCACCAUAAAAAUACUCAACAACAUGGGGUGAGAUAAUAAUCUCAGUGGGUCAACUCGACUCUACAGGGUUUUCUAAUCAAUAUUCAACUCAUACUCAACUCAAGUCAACAAGAAAACAAAGACUUGAGCAAUGGGGAAACUAACUCGCAAUGUGUGGCAACAUGCACCUGAGUUCUCACAACUCAACCACGAUCAUUAUUCAGAUCACGAAACAUCAAUUCUCAAACGGACUUACGUCUAAGCCAGACCCGGUUCAUGCAUGCUCGUAUGAUUUGACUUUCGCGCUAGAUAUCAGGUCCUCUAUAAGGCUUAAUCCCCAGUUCAAGCGAUCGUCACCCGUAUGGGAAUCUAACCCACUUAGGGUCUCUUUCACCGCAUGGGAAUCCAGCCCAUUUAGGUGCCCACCUUUCCCCCACGUCUGCCGUGGUUGGGGCUCAAACCCAAUUGAGGCUCGAAUCAUCGGUCUCACAUCCCAAUGCUUACUCAUCAAAGCAUACCAAAUAGAUAUGUGCACUAUCACAGAAAAUACACAUUCUGAAUACAUGAUCGGUUUCACAAAUCAUUGGUUCCACAAACCAUAACAAAAUCUGUCAAUCACAGGUGACUUCUUUCACCAUAAUACAUAAAUAAUAACAUGGCAUGUUCCAUACAAUGCAUCUCAUUCUCAAUCAUGGAAACCAUUCGUCCACGACCUCCACAUAAGUGUCAUACGAAUGAAUACCGUAUUCUCAUAUUACCUAGGUUGUAAACCUAACUCAUGACCUAAUUUCAAUCCUGGGUUAACUCACUAGAUUCAUCAUGUAAUUUUCACCAUUAACAUGUAUUCAACAUAAGCAUAGAAUCACAAUUGAUUAAUGGUUGGAAGAAUGCAUUUAGAAACACUUAAGAAAUGGAUUUUGAAGUUUUUAACUUAAGUCAAUCGAUUGGUUGGGGAAGCCCAAUCGAUUGGUUCCUCUCACAUUUCUGUUUUUCAAAAUUUGCUGAGGAUCAAUCGAUUGAUCCUGAGUGUCAAUUGAUUGGCUCACUGAAAAAAUUUCACUGUUCAUAUACAGCAAGUUCGUGCAAUCGAUUGUAAUGCAGUGUCAAUCGAUUGGUCCUACUAAAAUUACAUUUUUUCUGCAAAACGAAGGGAUCUCAAUCGAUUGAUGACAGAGACCAAUCGAUUGGUCCACUCACAUAUUCAUAUUUUCCACUUCACAGACACCCUUUCCUCUGUUAUUUCAUUUCUAACACGCCAUUCAUUUCUUCUUCCAACAAAACUCAUCAUAUUACAUGCUCAUAUACACAUGUAUAACAAUGAUUCCAAGUUCAUAACCACAAGGGUUUCAACAUCAUAAACACAACCAAUCAUUUAACCACAACCACAACAAAAUGUUAUCACAACAAUCAUAAAGAACCUAUCAAGCACAUGUUCAUAAAAACAACAACGUCAAGAGAAAUAUUCAUCACAUAGCAUGGAUUGUUCAUGAUUUAUCUAUGAUUCCAUAACCCUAAUCUUCUAGAAACCUAGAGUUUCUAACUAGAACCCACCUCAAGAAAAUGAAGAGGAGAAGUUGUUGAAGAUGAGUUGAGGAUGAAUAUGAUGGUGUUGGUUCCAAACUCUUGAUCUUUCCAAGCUUUCCUUCUUCUUCUUCACUAGCUUGUUUCCUCUUCUUCUAUCUUUCCCUUUCUCCCUACUUAUCCUUUAUGAUACAUUGAUAAAUGAAGUGGCUUAUGAUAGGUAGUAUAUCAUACAAACAUAUGAUGGUGAGUGAGUCAAAGAUCAUAAGUAAGUGGCCAUGAUAAAUAUGUGGUAAGAAAGUGGUUACUAGUAGCAACAAAUAUCUCAAGUGGCACUAAACUUGUAAUAUUUGUUCUACCAUAGCUAUUGACUCAUUAUUAGUGUUACCAAAGUGUCCCAAUUAAUAAAAGAUCAGUCCCAAUUAAUAUUAAUUAAGUCAACCUGAAAUCACUAUUUACUCUAUUUAUCCCAAUCGGAAACUUUUAGAGCACAUAGGAACUCAGUUGAUCUCAAUUAAUAGGAAUUUAGGCAUUUAAGGAAAUAUGGGGUAUUACAUCCUCCCCCCUUAAAUAAAAAUUUGUCCUCGAAUUUAAAUAUUACCUGAAAGAGAUGAGGGUAAGCUUCUCGCAUUUCUGACUCCAGUUCCCAGGUAGCAUCGCCCGGAUGUGAUUCGUCCCAUUGAACCUUAACAAGAGGAUUCUCCUUAUUCCUUAAUACCUUAACUUCUCGUCCUGCAAUACGACUUGGUAGAGGUUCGAAAGUUAGAUCUUCUUCUACUUCUAUUGAAUCUGGAAGAAUAGGCUGAAGAGAAUCUGGAAUGAACUUUUAAUGUUGGGAUACAUGAAAAACAUCAUGCAUUUCUGAUAGAGAAGGUGGUAAAGCUAGUCUGUAGGCUACUUCUACAAUCCUCUCUAUAAUCUGGUAUGGCCCUAUGUAUCUCAGACUUAGCUUCUGUGACUUAAAUGGUCCUUUCAGUCUCAACCUCGGAGUCACCUUCAAAAAUACAUGUCACCUUCAUCAAAUUCCAAUGAUCUUCUCUUGUGAUCCGCAUAGCUCUUUUGGCGAUCUUGCGCUUUCUUCAUCUUAUCACGGACCAUCCUUAUCUUUUCAGUAGUCUCUUGAAUAAUCUCUGGUCCUAAGAUCCUUUCUUCACCAACUUUCGUCCAACAUAAAGGUGUUAUACAUUUCCGUCCAUACAAGGCUUCAUAAGGAGCCAUCUCAAUACUUGCAUGAUAACUAUUGUUAUAUGCAAAUUCAAUCAAUGGUAAAAGCUCCUUCCAAUUGCCUCCACUUUCAAGUACACAAGCUCUUAACAUAUCUUCCAGUGUUUGUAUCGUCCGUUCAGUCUGACCAUUCGUCUGAGGAUGAUUAGAAGUACUCAAACACAAUCUUGAUCCCAUAACUUGUUGGAAUGAUUUCCAAAACCUUGAAGUAAACUUUGGGUCUCUAUCGGACAAAAUACUAGAUGGAACACCAUGCAAUCUAACAAUUGCUAAAAUGAACAUCCGUGCAAGAUGACUUGCCUUGUAGGUAGUCUUCACGGCCAAGAAGUGCACGGACUUAGUCAACCGAUCCACAAUCACCCAAAUUGAAUCGUAACCACCUUGGGUCCGAGGUAACCCCACUGCAAAAUCCAUUUAAAUACUAUCCCAUUUCCAAAAUGGAAUCUCUAAAGGUCUCAAUAAACCACCUGGCUUCUGAUGUUCGAUCUUUACCUGCUGGCAUCUGUCGUACCUCGAGAAAAUAUGGGGAUACGACCUAAGCGAAGCGCAAUCGCACGCUCGCAAUGAUGGACUGAACAGAGUCGCCACCAAACUUUAUUUAUUCCUAAAAAGGAAAGGGGAAAUAUCGAUAAAACCCAAGAAAGAACGACAAUGAUAUUGGUCGUCGCAACCAAAUCAGGGUUCGGGAGUCGAUUACGCAAGGGGAAUGUAUUAGCACCCCUCACGUCCGUUGUACUCAACGGGAACCAUUAGGUUAGUUGUGUGCAUUAAUUUGAAAUGUUAGGCUUUAAGUUAUUAGGUGGGAAAGAAAGAAUAGAAGAGAGGAGAAUGUUUUUUUUAUAGAUUUUUGACGAAGGACUAAGCCUUAAGUUUUUUAUUAGUGGGCCUGACAAGAUUUACAAAUCCUGCUCCUACGUAUCUCAACAGUGAAAUCAAGGCUUACGUAGUUCUGGGUAGAAAAAAAUGUUUGUUUGUUGGUCGAUUUUAGCGAAAGCUACUUUGUGUCAAAUCGACAAAAACAUUGUUGGACUACCCAAAACAGGUGGAGAAACAUUGCCUUGCAUCGUUUUGAAACAAAGUACCUUUCGUUUGAGAAAAGGUUUAAGAGUCAAUCGCACGGCGGCGAGAAAAGGCUUAAAAGUCAAUCGCACGGCGGAGAGAAAAGAAAUUGAUUGGUUUGAUGUGUUUUGAGUAAUGGCGAGAACUUGGAUGAGCGAGAUAUCCAUCUCGAAUCCUAGUCUCAGGAGUGCGUGGUAUCCACCACGUUCCAUUUCCAUCUUAUUUGAAGAUAUCCAUCUCGAAUCCUAGUCUCAGGAGUGCGUGGUAUCCACCACGUUCCAUUUCCAUCUUAUUUGAAAAAAUGUUUAAUAAGAAUUAAGUGUUUUGAGGUUUGAUUGAGAAAGGGUUUGAAGAGACCGCAUUAACAAUUUGAAAUGAUGGCGAGAGCUAAGAUAGACGAGGUAUCCACCUCGAAUCUUAAUCUCAGGAGUGCGUGGUAUCCACCACAUUCCAUUUCCAUCUUUAUUGAAAAGUGUUUAGAUAGGAGUUAAGUAUUUUGAGUUUUGUUGUGAAAAUGACUUGACAUUGGAUCAAGCAUUGAUGGACGUUUAAGAGAAUUUUUUGAAUGAAUGUUUGAGAGAAAUAGAAUGGAUAAAUUUGGAUGAUGGCGAGAGCUAGGAUAGGCGAGACAUCCAUCUCGAACCCUAGUCUUAGGAGUGCGUGGUAUCCACUACGUUCCAUUUCCAUCUUUAUUAAAAAGGUCUUGAAUAUGAAUUAAUAUUUUUGAGUUUUUAUUAUGAAAAAUGGUUUGACGUUGGAUCAAGCGUUUGAUGAAAGUUUGAAAAAAAUGGAAUGGAAUGGGAGGGAGAAAUGGAUUGAUUUGUUUAUUGAGAAAAUACUCGACGUUGGAUCGAGUCUUAUUUUUGAUCUUUUGGAAAUGGUUGAUUUUAUUCUUGUGUUAGUAGCUAACUAAACAGUCAAACAAAUAAAGAAAUGAAAAGGCAGUAAAAUUAUUACAACAUCGGGGGGAGUGGGGUACAUUUGUCAAAUGGGGAUUCAAAGUACUGGAAUAAUUAAAUCGGGCCCAAACAACAAAUAAUGCAAUGUAUGAGUGUAAGUGCAAGAGAACUGUCUCAUUGUAAGAAGGCCCAAGAGUAAGCCAUGUGUAGAAAAUAAAUAACACAACAAGUUAUAUUUACAAAACACUCAAAAGUUAAAUUGAAAGAAACAACAUCAGGACGUGCACGGAUAAAAAUUGGGAUGCGAGGAUGCGAAUCAAAGUCGCAUAACGCAACGACGUGCAAGGCAAAUGGAAAUUGAAAAAGCAAACAAGAAAUCUAGAUAAUGUGCUCAAAGACGGUUUGCACAUAUUAACAACAAUCGAAAUGCCAUAUGUGAUUAAUCAAAACGCGGCGAAAUACCAUCAAUAUAUUGAUAAAAAUAAUCAUGGAUAAACAACACGGGAAUUGUUGAAUCCAUAAAUUAAAAUCGAUGUUUAACAAUUAAAAUAAAAUAAAAGGGGUAAACAUUAUGAGGGGAUUAAAACAAAAUGUGAAAUAGAAAUUAAAGUGUUGCAAAAAUCAAAUAUGGCACACAUGGGAAUUGAACACAGGACUAGGAGCUUGCCAAACCAUCCCUUUUACCAACUCCGCUGGAUAGGCAUCCUUGUCAUAUGGUCUCAAGCGCUAAUACAUAACAUAAAAAAACGCACCAAGCCUUUUAAACAAAACACAAAGUUGAAAACAGUAGCAGAACUUAAGCAAAUUCAUCUUAACGCACAGAGAUCCUUUUUCUUUCCAUUUGAACAUCAAAAUUUUACAGCAAGACAACCAAACAAAUGGAAGCUUUAAGGAAGCUAAAACGGAGAAAUGGAAAUAGAAACUCGAAAAGGAAACUAACCGGUUGCGGCGAGAUUGACCGACGGAUGUAGGUAAGGUUUCGUCUGAACCGGUAUUUGAUCUUCUUGUCCGUUCUUCACCACCAAGAAAAACUAUGGUUUUCUUUUCUCCUUGCCGUCGACCUCUUUUUUUGUUAGUGAACAGUAGCGGCUCCUCUAAAGAAUUAGGGUUCUCUGUGAAUAAUGAUUGCUUUUUUAUAUAUGACUCCUCUCCUCUCUGCUGUGUUGUUUUGUUUCUUCAGAGUAGUGGGAAAUGUCUGUACGGAAGAUGUUUGGAAUUUUGUCCUUAUUCCAGCUUGUGGUCCCUCUCCUCACGUUAACCAUUAUGUUAGUAACAAUUGCAUUUACCACUGUGAAUUUUUGAAAAUGUUUUAAUUACACCUCAACUAACUGUGUGCUAAACCAAUGUUGCAGGGCCUGUUCGGGCACGAUAUCGUUAACUUGGCUUCACUAUGGUAGCCUUGCCGAAUUGAAAUUGGUUUGUUGGAAUGGCCUUGGUGAGCUGGAUUUUGAAUUGAGUUUGCUUCAAUUCUGGUUGUGCUGCGAAUGAGACCCAAGAAGUCUCUCAAUGCUCCUCCACUGCCAUCAUGGAGGGUUUUGUAGAGAUGAUUGAAACUCAAAUUCAAAGCUAUCUGUAAGUUCCUGAUGCGACCGAUCUCGGGAGGAAUAGUUCCAGUUAAAUAAUUACUCCCCAAUCGUAAUUCAAGGAGUUUUCAACAACUUCCAAUUUCAUGAGGAUCUCUCCUCUUAUGGAAUUCAGAUUCAAUAACAAGUACUGCAACCGAGAAAUAUUGCAUCUUUCAUUCGGCAUCGUCCCGUUGAAUCUGUUGUUGCUUAUAUCAAGCUUGUUGAGACUUUUACAACUGAGCAUUGGUUUUGGAAUAUCACCAAAUAGGCCAUUUUCAGACAAAAUCAAUUCCAGAAAGAUUAUUAUUAUCGGCUUCGAGAUAUGCUAGGCUACUAAGAUUUCCAAUGGUCUUUUGUAGCUCAAACCGCUUGAAUACACCUGUGUGAAGCCAAUGUUCAAGGGGACCACGAGUUAAAGAAAAAGACUCAAUGCUAACGUUGUAAGAAGUUUGAGCACUUGACUGUUGACUGUUAGUCAAAUUAGGAAAGGAAAUAAGAAGAAGCAAAUAUAGUCAGAGGAGAUUCUGAUGAUGAACCUGUGUUAUUGAUGGCUUCUGAAUCUGAUGGUGCAUAUUUCGUAGACUAGUGGUAUAUGGACACUGGCUGCUCAAAUCACCAAAUUGGAAACAAAUAAUGGCUGAUUGAUUUUGACUCUAGAAAGAGGACAAAGAUCAGAUAUGCUGGUGAUAAAUACCUCAACACUUAAGGUAUGGGAACUAUCAAAGUCAAGGUGAAGAAUGGUAAAAUUGUUCUGAUCAAGGAUGUUUGGUAUGUUCCUGGCAUGAAGAGCAAUUUGAUGAGUGCGAGGUAUCCAUUUCAUUUUGUAGUUUUCGAACAUUCCAUAUGUUAUUUUGAUUGUUGCAUUUUGUAUGAAGGAGAUGAAUGAUAUAGCUUUUGAUUGAAGUUUUUUUAUAUUAUUUUUGAUCUGAUAUAUUUUAGGUUUCAGGAGCUACUGAUCUUCUUUAGGUUAAGAGGAAUUGCUUUGAAACCUUCAUGGUGCAGUGUGUACUUAGUUUGUGUAUUUCAAUUUGAUGCAUUUUGAUUUAAGUUGUGUUGUUUAGACUGAUAAUAUUGUUGUAUUUCAGAUAGUAUGGAUUUGUAUUGCAUUUUGAGUCUUCGUUUGGAAAUUCUUGUAUUUUGUUUAUGAAUUGAGUCUUAAUUCCAUGUUGUUGAGUAUUGUUUUGAACUGUUACAUAAGCUCAAAAAAUGAAGUUCUGCUACAAUAAGUUUGAUUAUCCAAAAGUUACAUCCAACCCAUGCUAUUAGAUAUCUUAUGAGGAGAGUUCUACAAUUUAAAAUAAAGGAGAAUGAUAAAAAUAUUGAAUGUGUUUUUGUUUGUUUCCCAUGCCUUGUGUCGUUUUGUAGUCAGUUGUUAGGGGAGUAGAUUUUGAGGAAAACAAUAUCAUUUUGUUUGUACCUCAAUAUCAAUUUUUCUUGCACGUCCUUGCUUUAUGUGACUUUGAUUUGCAUCCUCGCAUCCCAAUUUUAAUUUGUGCACACUUCAAUUUUAUUUUAUUCGAUUUAAUUGUUGAUUAUGUUGUAAGUAUUAACUUGUGUGUUUUCUUCACAUGGCUUACCCUUGGCCUUCUUACAAUAAGACCAUCAUCUUGCACUUACACUCAUUCAUUGCUUGUUUGUUGAUUGAGCCCAAUUUAAUCGUUUCAUUAUCAUGAAUUCCUAUUCGAAAAAAUGUACCCUCAUUCCCAUGAUGUGUAACAAUUUUACUCCUUUCAUUUCUUUGUUUUCUUGUUUAUUUAGCUAGUUCUAACACAAAAAUAAAAUCAACUUCUUUUAUAAAAAAGACCAAAAGUAAAGACUCGAUCCAACGUCGAGUAUUUUCUCAAUAACCAAAUUAAUCUAUUUCUAUCCAUUCCUUUUCUCUCAAACCAUUUCUUUCAAAACCUUUUGCAAUUGUUCAUCAAAUGCUUGAUCCAGCGUCAAUCCAUUUUUACAAUAAAACUCAAAAAUACUUAAUGCUUAUUCAACACUUUUCGAUAAAGAUGGAAACGGAACAGGGUGGACACCACGAGCUCCUAAGACUAAGAUUCGAGAUGGAUAUAUCACCUAUCUUAGCCCUCGUCAUCAUUCAAAACUGUCAAUGCGGUUUCUUCAAACCUUUUCUCAAUCAAAUCUCAGAAACGCCUUAAAAGUAUCAAACACUUUCUAAAAUAAUACGGAAACAGAACUUGAUGGAUACCAUGCACUCCUAAGGCUAUGAUUUGAGAUGGAUAUCUCGCUCAUCCAAGUUCUCGCCAUUACUCAAAACACAUUCAAACCAAUCAAACGUUUUUCUCUCUGCCAUGCGAUUGACCCUUAAACCAUUUUUGCAAACAAAAUGAAUUUUAUUUCAAGACGACGCAAAAGUAAUGUUUCAUCCACUUGAACGUUUGAGUAAGCUUGCGAUGUUGGCCACAAAUGUUGAUUUGUAAAUCCAUUCGGUUGUGAUGCAAACAUCCCCUUCACCACUUAUUUUGGGUAGUACAAUAAUGUUUUCAUCGAUUGGCACAAAGUAGCUUUCGCUAAAAUCGACCAACAAAGAAGUAUUUUCUUUCUAGAACUAUGUAGGCCUUAAGUUCCCUAAUGCACCCGGAGAUACGUAGGAGCAGGAUUUGUAAAUCUUGUCAGGCCCAUUAGUAAAAAACUUAGGUUUAGUGCCCCUCAUUGUAAAAAACCAAAACCAUUUUCCCUUUUCUUUUCCUCUUUCCCACCUAAUAACUCGAGAAGCCUAACACUUCAAGCUAACACUAACACGCACAACUAACCUAAUGGUUCCCGUUGAGUACAACAUACGUGAGAGGUGCUAAUACCUUCCCCUUGCAUAAUCCACUCCCAAACCCUGAUUUGGUGGUGACGACCAAUAUCAUUGUCGUUCUUUCUUGGGUUUUAUCGAUAUUUCUCCUUUCCUUUUUAGGAAUAAAUAAAGUUUGGUGGCGAAUCUGUUCAGUCCAUCAUGCAAGCAUGCUCACUAAGUCGUGUUCUCAUUUAUCAAGGUGCGACACCUAUUGAAGGCAACUUGAAAAGGUGAAGUGAACUAAUCUAGAGCACUUGUAAAAAACCUAUUAAUCAGGUAUACUACAGUAGUAAAUUUGUGCUCCCAAAAACUCAUUGGCAUAUAGGAAUGAGCUAGCAAGGUAACACCCAUUUCAACAAUUUAACUGUGUUUUCUCUCUAAUAUUCCAUUCUGGUGUAGGUGUGUGGACAAGUGAGUCUGUGCAUCAUACCUUGUUCAUUAAGUAACUUUGUGAAAGGUCUAACUUCUCCAUCAAAAUAUGAUUGGACAACUUUAAUCUUGCCAUUAAAAUUGGAACGGGAAAAUAUCGAUAAACCCUUAAAAGAGAAAUAAAAUGGUCGUCACAUUUAGAUUCGGGUUCGGGAGUCGAUCAUGCAAGAGGAAGGUAUUAACACCCGUCACGUUCGUUGUACUCAACGGGAACCUUUUAGUUAAACUUGCGAUUGAAUGUUAGCUAUCGUUAAUUGUUAUCUUUUAUUUAUUGAGCGAGAAAAAGAAAGAAAAGAUUGUUAGGUUUUUCUUUAUUAAUGUGCCUGACAAGAUUUCAAAAUCUUGCUCCUAUAUAUCUCCAGGUGUGAUGGAGAACUCAAGGAUACAUAAUUAUUUGAAAUAAAAAACGAUAUUUUUGGUGUUUUUGUUAUAGUGCUUGAUGAGACGUUGAAUCUCGCUUCUACGUAUGUAAAUGCGCGAUGGAGAACUCAAAGCUACAAAUUUUUUGGUAGAAAAAGAAUUAUUUGUUGGUUGCUUUUAAGGAUGAUGUUUUAGACAUAUCGAGUGGUUAAACCUUUGCUUGUUGCUCGCUCUUGGAGGCAGAAGCCUUUGUUUGUUUCACGUCGAUAUGGAUAAACUAUACUCGUUUUUGAAAAUGUUUUCGAAGUCGCGCAGAGGCAAAAAAUAAUUUUGAUGUAUUUGAAUUUUUUUUAGUGAUUGACGAAUAUUCAAACGGUAGGCUAAAUGCGGCCAUCACAUGAAUAUCGGGGAAAUGAGGAGAAAUUUAUUUUUGUCUCACUCAUUUUUCAAUAAGAUUAUUUAUGAAAUUGGUGUGACGAAUCAAGUUAUGUUUCUUUAAUGGGCAAUGAGUAUUCAAACGGUAGGUCAAGUGGGUUCAUCACACGAAUACUCAGGGAAAAGAGGAUAAAAUUACUUUUACCCUAAUCCUUUUUUGUCCACUAAAGAAUUAACUUGAUUAUGUUAUUUAGAUGUGUUUUGAUGCGAUUAAUGAAUAUUUAAAUGGGACUCUAAGUGCGUCCAUCAAAUGAACAUUUGGGGAAAGAAGGAGAAAAUUACUUCUGCCCCAAUCCUUUUUCAAUCGGGUUUUUAUUAUGAAAUAAGCAUUUGAAAACGGAAAACAUGAAGUUGAAUUAAGUGUUUGAAGUUGAUUAUGAAAAUGGGUUUGAAUGAAGCGGAAGAGGUACUUGAUGAUGGAUUAAACACUCCCGUUAUUGAAAAUGGUUUGAUUUGUGAAAACUACUUGACGUUGGAUCGAACAUACUUUUUGUUCUUUUUGAAAGUGGUUGAUUUUAAUCUUGAGUUAGUAUAUAACUAAGAUAACAAAUCAAUUGAAAGGAAAAUGGUAAAAUUACGCAAGCAAUACAAACUAGCGGAGAGGGAUACAUUUUAUCGGUUGGGGAAUGAAAUAAGGAUAAGAAAUAGAAAUAAAAUCAAUACGAAGCAAGACAAGAUAUAAGAGAUAGGAACACAUACGACAUAUUUACAGUACACUUUCAAUAUAAUUGAAUCGAAAGAAGUAAAUCCAAAAGUGGAACGUGCACGGAUCAAGAUCAUGACGCAAAGACACAAAUCAAAGUCGCAUACGCGAAGAUGUGCAAAAGCUACCACAAAAAAUCAAAUUCGAUCUAAAUAUAACGACGUUGGGUCAUUGUAAACUAUCACAAAUUGAAAUAGCAAAUUGCUAACAUGUAAGUGGUCAUCGCAAGUCGAAAUGCAACAAAAUAAAAUCGUGCAAGCACAAAUUAUGAAUUGAAACGUGAAUUGUUAAGAAGCACAAAUACGGAUUGUCGCUAUGCUUAACCACCCGACGCAUGUACAAAAUCGAACACAAUAUUAAUCAUCUAAAGUGCACGCAAAGCUAAACAUAAUAUGAUCAAAGUCGGUUUAUAUGUGUCGACAACAAAAGCGGAAUGUCCUACCCAAGGUCUCUAACGCGGGAAAUCAUAUCAAUGUAUCAAAACAAAAAUCCAGUGGCAUAACGACAUACAAUUAAUUUUCAAUCUGCGAAUUAAAUCCGAGUUUACACAACGCAAAUGAAAAAAAGAAACAACAACGACAAAAUAUUAUAAACCGAAUAGUGUCAAACACUCAUCAUAACAAAUAUAAUUUCGACAUGUUAAAACGCAGGCAACAACAACACAACUCCAACAUUAUAUUUAUAAUUAGUGGGAUACCCAUACGUUCGCACGGGGACUGGUAUGGCACGCGUAUUUUUUUCAAAAUAUAAUAAAAAUGAAAUUAAAAAAAUCGAAUUGUUCAACCAAAAAAGGUUAUUAUUUUUAAAAGAGAUAAUAAACCAAUGCUUAUAAUUCAUUCAAUAUAUAAAAGCAUUUGAAUCAACCACACAACAUAAUAUAUAUAUAUAUAUAUAUAUUAUAUAUAUAUAUAAUUAUAUAUAUAAUAAUAUAUUAUAUAUAUAUAUAUAUAUAUAUAAUAUAUAUAUAUAUAUAUAUAUAAUAUAUAUAUAUAUAAUAUAUAUAUAUAUAUAUAUAUAUAUAUAUAUAUAUAAAUAUAUAAUUUUUGUUUUGACAUUAUUUACCAAAAAAAAAAAAUACUAGAAUCAAUAGUGAACUUUUUCUCAUUAAUAUUUAAUAUUUUGAUUAGUAACAUGUUCCUAUUAUAAUUGUUUUAUAUUUGUGUUAAAAAAAAGAUAAGAUGUGAUUUAAUUAAAAUUUGUUUUCUAUAGUUAGUGUGCACAUUUGUUUUCAAAAUAUAAUAAAAUUAUUUUCGUUUAUAACAAUAGUAUUUUUUUAUUAAACUUUAUAUAUUUAAAAAAAGAUCGAUAGCUUUAUAUUAUUUAAUAUUUGAAACGAUUAAAAGUGUUCCCUUUUAUAACAAUAAUAUUUUUUUCGUAUAUAUAAAUAAUUUAAUCAAUAACGUAUUUUUUUCGUAUAUAUAAAUAUUUGAAUUUAUAUACAAAUAUUUAAAUCAAUAAUUUAUUUUACUCCGUAAAUAAAUAUUAUUUUGUUCAAUGACAUAUACAUUUACUUAUUUUUAUAAUUUAUUUUAAUUAAAAAUUUAUGAUUUCUUUAUACUAUGCAAUAAAUAAAGUAGAGUAGGUUAAUAUUAUUAUGAUGUACAAUGUCAAUCGAAGUACACAUAUAGAGUAAUUCAAUUUAAUAUGGAAAAUGUACAUAUGGAUAAUACAUGUGCCGAUUAAUAUAAAAAGAAAAAGUAAUGAAAUAUGGAUUAAAGAUGGAUAAUAUAAUAUGUUUGUCUUAUAGAAGUACAUACUGAGAGUAAGAAAAGGAUGGACGGUAAAUGUUCGGAAAACUAGUGUCUUUGGGUAAAAUAUAAUAUAAUAUUGUAUGUAAGAUUAAAAAAAUAAUAAAAGGUUAAUAAUGGUAUGUAUAGCUGAGUUAAAAUGGAAGAUUAAAUUGACAUUCCCUAAAAAGAAGUUGAUUUAAACUACAAUAAAUAAUAUGUAAAAAAAUUCUAUAAAUAAAAAAUAUUAGUCAUAAAAGGAUUAACUGAAAUCAUAAUUUAUUAACCUUUAAAAUCAUCUACUAACACAUUCAAUAAAUAAGUCUGAUGAUAUUUCUUUUUAAAUAUAACUAAAAUAUUAAUAAAAAAUAUUUAAAAAUAAUAAGUUGAUUUAAACUACAAUAAAUAAUACGUAACAAAAAAUUUUUAUAAAUAAAAAAUAUUAAUCAUAAAAGGAUUAACUGAAAUCAGAACUUCUUAGCAUAUAAAUUAUUUAGUACCACAUUCAAUAAAUGAGUCUUAUGAUAUUUGAUAUAUUAUUAAUAUUAAAGUAUUAAAGUAUUUGUAAUUUUAAAGUUUUUUUUAUAUAAUUCUAAUAUAUUGUCAAUAUAACAUAAUAAAGUUUUUAUAGCCAUCAACGAAUUAUAUAUUAUAAACUUAAGAAUAAAAUAUUUUUAAAAUAUUUUUCUUCUUAUAUUUUGAAUAAAGAGAUACAUAAUAAACCAAUAUUUUGCAUCUAUUUUAUAGUAAAAUAUUUAACAAAUAUAUAUGAUUUUUGAAAUAUUAAAAAAAUAUUAUCUACUUUUUAGUAGUAAAGGAUAAUAAUUUUUUUCAUAAAUAGAACUUGAAAAAUCCAUUCACACAUUUCUAUAAAUAUUUGUAUCAAUUAUACAUAAAUUUGUAACCAUGAAUUGUUUAUUACUAUGCAGAUCAUAAUUUGAGUUAUAGAAGUUGGAUUGACGCGUUCUAAUAUACGUUGGGAUGCUAAGAGAAAGAGCUACAAGGUUCAUGUUAAAGUCAAAAGCCGAUUCAGAGUGAAGAAGGGUCGAAAAUUUGUUAAAGUUCAAUACUUAAUUAAAAUAGUUAGUUUCAUGUUAAAGUCAAAAACCGAAUUUCUAUUUUAUUAUAUUAUGUCUUUUACCACUACAGUAUUGCUUAGACGAUUUUAUGGAGAAUUAAAUUAUAUUACUGUAAUUGAAAAGGGAUUAGAAUCCGCUUAGGAUAUAAAAAUUAUAUUAACCAAUGAUAAGUUAGGAAACCAAAAUAGUAUAUUAACUUAUUGUAUAAUCACUUUUCAUAAUCACUUUUAUAAUUAUUUCUUUUAAAUUGAAUCGAAACCCUCUUAUUUCGUUUUUUUAUUUGGUUAAUUUGUCAAUAGUCUUUGCGAUACGAUAACCGACGGUCGUUUUCCUAGACCACCAUUCUUAGUUACUUGUUUUUGACCCGUGUGCGAGAGCGGAUUCUUUUAACUUUACUUUUCAUCAUUUGUAAGUAUUUUUUUUGAAAGGUAAAACCUUUUACCUUUACUUUUCAUCAUUUGUAACUAUUUUAUUUUGGAAGGUCAAAGAAACGAUUUUUUUUUUUAAAAUAACCAUGUUUUUGAAAUAAAAUACGAUAAUAACCGGUUUUUCAAAAAAUUUCCCAAAAUAACCAUGUUUUUUAAGGGAUGCGCCGGAGGAGUUGGCGCAUCCCUUAAAAAUUUUUGGAGCCUUAAAGGGAGGCGCCAAAGGGGUAGGCGCCCUAGUUAAAGCCCCCAUAAGGGAGGCGCCCCUAGGUUGGCGCGCCUUGUGUGCCCCUUAAGGAGGCGCCCCUAGGGUUGGCGCUUAGCCUCCCGCUAAGGGAGGCGCACCCUAGGGUUGGCGCCUUAGCCUCCCACAUUUUCUAAUUUUUUUUUUAAUUAUAUUUUUAUAAUAUUUUUUUAUAAUUCCAUAUUAAUUAUUUAAUAUUAAUUAUUUAAUACGUAAUAAAUAAAAAAUAAAAUAAAUGACUUCAUUAAAUAUAUAUAAAUAAAUGAUUACAUAGAAUGACAAAACCCUAAUGACCCGCCCGAUUAUAACGUCCCCGGUUCCACAUCCCGUGCGUUAGGUUGUCUUCGAGGUCUCCCACGAUUUUUCUUGAGGUGUUUGUGGUCUUUGGGUGCUGACCUGAUGCGAGCGAUGGCUGGUUGGAAGGUCCGGCAGAGGUUCCGGCGGUAUUCGAAAGAUGUGUCAUCAUUGCUCCCAAUAUCCGGAGGGGCUGUGGCCAACGGCGCUUCCGUAAUGGAGUUCGGUGCCCAUGUCAUCGUAGUUAGGGCGUUGGGUUGGGUGAAUUGGGUGAAUUGGGACGGUAUAGUUGCCCAAAUUGGGUCAUUGAGUCGUUUGGAAAAACGAAGCAAUGGUUAUUGGGGCGUACUAUAGUUAAACAGUGGUUGGGUGUUAAAUGGUGGGGGGCUACGAUGACGUGACUCAUAUGAAUCAUCGGGGGAGUAGACGGUUGCGGUUGUGGGGUUUUGGUUCUUGUUUGUGUUUGGGUGGGUGGUAUGAAGGGAUUGCGACGUUGGAUGGUUCGUUGUUGGGUGGUUGGCAUGAAGGGUUGCGAUGUUGGGUGUUUGGUUGGUUUGAGUAUGUGGUCGGUUGAUGUUGUGUGGUUGGUUGUGGGUUUGGAUGGGUUCACAUUGGUGUUGGGUGGUGAAUUGAUGUGGGACAUACGAUGAUGAAGCAAGUUGGCGCGGAUCUAUCAAAUACCGCGGCUCAGAUACGAAUUGCUGAGUUGUUACAGACCUAAACCAUGCAUAUGAUUGUUGAGUCGGUCUUACACCUUGGAUGACUGGUUCGUUGAGGAUGUGUUGUCGUCGAUUUCUCCAUUGACGACACAUGUCUUUUGCAAAGUCUCUCCAGUCUGAAAAAUCCCACUGUGCAUCGACCCUUUUUGAUGCCAAUUCCCCAACAUGUGGGAGACUCUGGGAUAUGUUGUACAUUCCGAACUGCAGUUUGACCCUGUCACUUUGGUGCAUUUCAACUGUAGUAAAUCGGAUAAUUGGUGUCUUCGCUGUCCAAACUGCAGCAUCGUCAUGGUUCACAUCAUGAUCUAGACCCAGAUAUGGCCUCCAUACAAACUGGAAAAAAAUAACAAAUCGUUAGAUGAAGAAUAAUUUGAGAACUAUUUUAAGAUUAACUAUAGUUUGAUAGGAGUAUACAUCAUCAUGUCCAAUGUGAUCCAAUAGAUUUCGAUAGACUACAAUAGCGUGUUUCGGACACCUAUUGUAGUUCAUUCCCCUUACUGACCACCUAAGAUAAAAAAGGAGUGAAAAAUAUUAUUUACUGUUAAUUUAAAUAAUAGAUAUAAUUAACAAAAUGGUAAAUAGUAAAGUGGUAGACUUACUUGGUUGCAAAGGGGAACGCGAAUGGACGCUCAUUUUCUGGGCGAGCGACGGCAUCCUAGACCACCCCCAAGCUUGAAGCAAAAUAAGCACAUGAAAAAAAAGUACAGGUAUUCUUUUUUGCAUUUUUACACAAUGCACUAUAUAGAUGGGCCAACACAGCUGAACCCCAACUAUAAGUGUUUACCUUAUUGAUGUUGCGUAAUAAAGGUAAAUACAUUAUAUUCACAGAAUUAACCUGUACUUUCUGGAAACAAAAAGUUACCAAAUAAAAUCAUAAAUAUAACACGAGCUUUUAUUAUUCUAUCUUCUAUACUCGGUUUGAAUCUUCAGACAGUACAUACUGUUAUAAUAUUGUCUAAGGUAUUUUAAAUUUAUACCUUGCCCCCUUGCUUGACUGGAUGUGUCUCCCUCAGGUUCGUCGUCUAACAAGGGGCACCCAGUAAUUCAUUGCAUAAUGUCGUUGACAUGGUUAACUUUCCCAUUGACUGCCUUUCCAUCUAUACGAAGAACCUAACAGCAUGUAACUACGUCAUCAGUGUGACGGUACACUCACCAAUCGAAGGUGAAAUGUGUGGGUCUCGCGGGUCUCCACCUCUCAACAAAGCUAGGAUGAACUUGUAGUACCACCGAGUACGAAACAAUGUUUAGGAGAUUUCAAAUCCACAUCCUCUAAUAUAUGGUUCUAUUAAAGGAUCGUGGGGUACAUAUUCAUGUACCACGACUCUAAACCGCUUCGGAUCCUAAUAACAAAAAACAAAAAUAACAAUUAGUAGAAGAAAUACAUUCUAAAGAAUAUGUACAAGAUGUAAUCCAUAAUAAAACUAAAAAGAAGAGAUUUGAAAGGUAUAACACAAAUAAACAGAGAUAUUACAAGUAAUCCAUAAAUAGUAACUAAAAAGAGAGAGAUAACAUACAAAUGCGAGAUAUUCUCGAUUGUGCCUCUGUGUUCAUCGCCCAUAGUUAACAAAGACAUGAUUUCGAUUUUGCAAAGCUUAAAGUUUGUUAGUAUAAAGAAAUGUGGUAGAAGGAAAGAGUGUGAUGAAGAUGGUUUGAUAAUGUUGAUAUGAGAGGGUAUUUAUAGAUGAAUAAAUGAGUAUGUUUAGAAACUAUAAUGAAUUAUGAUUGGUUGCAUGCAAAGGCUAUGAGGUUAAAAACCUAGUGAAUGACAAACACAAAAGACAAAUGAAUGACACAAAGUGAAUGACUAAAAUGCAUAGCAUGGAAGGCGAAUCACGCAUGACAAAAGUAGCAUAAGGGAAUCUAGUAGGCGGCGCAUGUGAAGAAAUCACAUGCAAUAGGAGGAGGAGCCCUCCUAAUGGCGCCUACAUGUGAUUUUUCACAUGCAAGGAAGGGGCGCCCUUCCUCUAGCGCCUUAGUGUAAGGCUUAGGAAAGAGCGCCCUUCUAAUGCGCCUAUGCAUUUUUAGAGGAAGAGGCGCCCAAACCAUUGGCGCUAAUGUUUUUGCCAAGGGAAUGGGCGCCUAUGUUCAGUGUUAGGUCACAGAAUAAAUUAGGGCACAGAGAUUCUUGAUUCCUCUCGUAUUGAGUAGAUCUUUUCACUCUUCCCUCUACAAAUCUUUUCACCCUUCCCUCUGCGUGGAAGUACAGUCAAGUCUGUUUUCAGUCUUUCCUUGCGUGCAAGUAUAGUCAAGUCUGUACAGAUAUUAUGAAUUUAUUAAUGCAUUGGCCAAGUAUUUAUGUUGUGCGGUGAACAAGAUUUACAAAAUCAUUUACUUCAAUUCCAUUCAACACAAUGUCUUCCACACACAAUAUAUGAUCAGGUGCACAUGUUGACGGUGAAAUAUUUGAUAUCAGUUGUUCGGUUUUGUUUUCGAGACACACAGGUGACUCGUUUUACAAUAAAUCGGCGAUCAAUUUUUCACACCUAAAACAAAGAAUAAAAAGAAGUUGCAGUCCAAUAAUUGUCGUCAGAUCAUCUAUAAAAAUCCAGUUGUGUUUUGCAGAUAACCAGGUAAUUCUAUCAGAGAAAGAUUCGAGAUGAUGAUGAUGUUCACAUAUGUUUGGCAGUCACGAACAAUCCGGUUAUAACGAUAUAGAGUUGUAUAUAUUACCACAUCAAAACACAGGAGUCCCAGUACAUAAUCAGUCAGCAAGUGUUUUGUGAGACUGAUUGACAAACAAGUUGAGGGUGAAUGUUCCAGGGANNNNNNNNNNNNNNNNNNNNNNNNNNNNNNNNNNNNNNNNNNNNNNNNNNNNNNNNNNNNNNNNNNNNNNNNNNNNNNNNNNNNNNNNNNNNNNNNNNNNNNNNNNNNNNNNNNNNNNNNNNNNNNNNNNNNNNNNNNNNNNNNNNNNNNNNNNNNNNNNNNNNNNNNNNNNNNNNNNNNNNNNNNNNNNNNNNNNNNNNNNNNNNNNNNNNNNNNNNNNNNNNNNNNNNNNNNNNNNNNNNNNNNNNNNNNNNNNNNNNNNNNNNNNNNNNNNNNNNNNNNNNNNNNNNNNNNNNNNNNNNNNNNNNNNNNNNNNNNNNNNNNNNNNNNNNNNNNNNNNNNNNNNNNNNNNNNNNNNNNNNNNNNNNNNNNNNNNNNNNNNNNNNNNNNNNNNNNNNNNNNNNNNNNNNNNNNNNNNNNNNNNNNNNNNNNNNNNNNNNNNNNNNNNNNNNNNNNNNNNNNNNNNNNNNNNNNNNNNNNNNNNNNNNNNNNNNNNNNNNNNNNNNNNNNNNNNNNNNNNNNNNNNNNNNNNNNNNNNNNNNNNNNNNNNNNNNNNNNNNNNNNNNNNNNNNNNNNNNNNNNNNNNNNNNNNNNNNNNNNNNNNNNNNNNNNNNNNNNNNNNNNNNNNNNNNNNNNNNNNNNNNNNNNNNNNNNNNNNNNNNNNNNNNNNNNNNNNNNNNNNNNNNNNNNNNNNNNNNNNNNNNNNNNNNNNNNNNNNNNNNNNNNNNNNNNNNNNNNNNNNNNNNNNNNNNNNNNNNNNNNNNNNNNNNNNNNNNNNNNNNNNNNNNNNNNNNNNNNNNNNNNNNNNNNNNNNNNNNNNNNNNNNNNNNNNNNNNNNNNNNNNNNNNNNNNNNNNNNNNNNNNNNNNNNNNNNNNNNNNNNNNNNNNNNNNNNNNNNNNNNNNNNNNNNNNNNNNNNNNNNNNNNNNNNNNNNNNNNNNNNNNNNNNNNNNNNNNNNNNNNNNNNNNNNNNNNNNNNNNNNNNNNNNNNNNNNNNNNNNNNNNNNNNNNNNNNNNNNNNNNNNNNNNNNNNNNNNNNNNNNNNNNNNNNNNNNNNNNNNNNNNNNNNNNNNNNNNNNNNNNNNNNNNNNNNNNNNNNNNNNNNNNNNNNNNNNNNNNNNNNNNNNNNNNNNNNNNNNNNNNNNNNNNNNNNNNNNNNNNNNNNNNNNNNNNNNNNNNNNNNNNNNNNNNNNNNNNNNNNNNNNNNNNNNNNNNNNNNNNNNNNNNNNNNNNNNNNNNNNNNNNNNNNNNNNNNNNNNNNNNNNNNNNNNNNNNNNNNNNNNNNNNNNNNNNNNNGCACUUCUCCGCUUUGGUUGAACGUGGACACAAGCCAUUGUAUUCUUCUAAUCCGUUCACCCUCUCCAAUUUCUCCCUCUAACCAACUGUACAACGUUCGAUUAAGACGUUCAAACGUAUCUGUGUUCCAAAGUCGAACCUGUAUCGGAGCCGCAACGGCAGAAAAUAUUACAUCAGCAUUUCGUUUUUGAAUAUAUCUAGACAUUGUUAAAACAAAGAAAAUUAAAAAUGGUGGUUGCACUAGACUAGAAGAUGAGUUUGAGUGAAAAUAUAAACUGAGAGAUGAAUUUGACUGAAAAUUUGUAUACAAGCUGAUCGUAUUUAUAGAGGCGAUAAAUCAGACACACAAGACACACAAAAGGGCACCUAAAAAAACACACAAAAGGCACCUAAAAAAAACCCUAGGGCACACACACACAGGCGCCAACCCUAGGGGCGCCUCCCUUAGUGGGAGGCUAAGGCGCCAACCCUAGGGGCGCCUCCCUUAAGGGGCACACAAGGGCGCCAACCCUAGGGGCACCUCCCUUAAGGGGCACACAAGGGCGCCAACCCUAGGGGCGCCUCCCUUACGGGGGCUUUAACUAGGGCGCCUACCCGUUUGGCGCCUCCCUUUAAGGCUCCAAAAUUUUUUAAGGGAUGCGCCAACUCCUCCGGCGCAUCCCUUAAAAAACAUGGUUAUUUUGGGAAAUUUUUUGAAAAACCGGUUAUUAUCGUAUUUUAUUUCAAAAACAUGGUUAUUUUAAAAAAAAAUCCAAAGAAACUGAUAUAUUAAAUAAAAGAAACAUGCAUAAGGGAUGCCAUGAAGAAAGUACAGAAACACAAGUUGUAAAUCAAAAGCAGAAGUCCCACCAACACCCAAAAACAAAUAAGGUAUGAAAAUCAUUAUUAAGAUUUGAAAUACUAAAUAAAAACAGAUUUAGAGUUUUUUUUACCUGAAUCAUCGAAGAAAAAUAUAUGGGUGUUGAAGAUAGAUUUGCAAUCAGAAUGUUACAUGCACAUAUGAGAAUCCGUUGGAGAGAUGAAGGAUACGAAGAAUUUAGAAAUUGGUAUGAAAUACAUUUGAAACUGAUGAGAGAGAAAUAGAGGAAUAAGUUGAUUUAUUGUUAUAUUAGAUAUGGACGUAGGUAUGGUCAUUUUGCUCAUCCAAAAUUUGUGAGUUUGAAAAGGGAAAAGAUGAUUGAAAGAUCGAGUGAUUGAUUGGAUAGCAAGUUUGUUUCGGUCUGUACUAAGUGAAUACAAGUUGAACAACUUGUUAGCCAAAAUCAGACUAUUGAUAAUAUUGGUAGAUUUUAAUGUAAUGAUCACAAUAUAAUAUUGUUAACUACAAUCAAAACUGUGGUUGCGUUUCAAUUAGUAUAUAAAAUCGGUUGAAUUUAGUUAAAAAAAGACAAAUUUUACCAUUAAAAUGGCAACGUAGAAAUAUUAGAAAAAAUGGCUAUUGUGUAAAAUUCCAACAAAGUUCUUAUAUUAUAUUAUAGAUACUUAUGUAAUACAUGGGAACUUAAAAAUAUUAAUAUAUAUAUAUAUAUAUAUUAUAUUAUAUCUAUAAUAGAUAUAUAUAUAAUUAUAUAUAUAUAUAAUAUAUAAUAUAUAUGUAUGAGUUUAAAAUUUAUUUAUUCAAGUCAAUAAAAAUCCAAACAAUUGUAAAAUAAAAUAAGAUAAAAUUAAAGAAUUUAUGGAAAUACCUGAUAGUGUAAAAAGAAUUUUACCCACGUCAGUUAAUCCUAUACGUUGGUUAUUAGAAUAAGUUUAACUUUAUUUUUAAAGCCUAUAAAGUAAAUGCAAACGGUGAUGGUGAUAGAAUCGACAAUGUAAAUCUUUAUAUGACAGUGUAAGUAAUAUUAAUCUCAAUGAAACAUAUAAUCAAUGAGAAAAUAAAUAUGCACUACUGAAUUUUUAGAGUUUUCAACAAUGGAAUCGUGUAUCCUAUUAGAAGUAAUUCAUAUUUAUUAAAUUAUUAUUAUUUUUCUUGCCCCUAAGUUGUUAGGGGGUAUUUUAGUGUUUUAUCCUAGGUCUAGUACCCUAGUUUUAGCUUAUUAAAUAGGCGUGACUGAUUGUAACUUUUCAUGUUUUGUAGCGUCAUUUCUUAAUACAAUUUAUUUCCAUACAUCUCCUACCUUUGCACCAACAAUUGGUAUCUAGAGCUCCGGUUCCUGAUUUCAUUGGGAAACAGGGAACAGCGAGUGACGUGAGUGCUUGUGUGUAUUGAUUUUUGAUUCUUAGAUUCGUGUUGAAUCUUGAACAAAAAAAAUCUGAAUCAGAAAAAAAUGUGUUUUAAUUCUGUGGGUUGGGGAACACUGUGGACUCUGAGGUGUACGUGCAAGGUAGAAAGCUGAUGCAACGAACUGGCAACUGAACACCAACUUCCAGUAUUUUGACGGUUAAAAACUGGGAAUCGUUGAUGAUUCAAAUGCGCUGUACUGUUCGGUGCUCAAGAUGUUCCUAGAAUCUUGUCACUGAUGGUUAUGUCUCGGUAGCAGCAGAUGGACGGAUGAACAGCAUAAAAUGCGCAGAAGGAAGUAGAAGAAGAUCAGAAACAUUGUUCCUCUCAUCAAUGUGCUUGAAUGUAAUGUGUUUGAGAAGAUCUGGCAGAUUCAACGAACGAGCCAAGACUGGCGUGGGACACAACUGGUUUAGAUUGUUAUGUGUGACGCAAUCAGUGAAGAAGGUGAAGCUUCAGUCCUAGAGAAAGCAAUAUAGAGAAUGCUCAACAUGAAUGAGAUAGAUGGAAAGUUUCUGUAAUACAUCUCCAGAGUGAUUUGAUCACUAAUGAAUGGAAAGCGUGUGAGAAACUCUUUGCUGCAAGAAAACAAUCAAUGGAGAAGGUAUUGAGAUCCCUUACCUGUCCAAUUUGAUUACAUGUGGUAGCAAUAGAAACAUUCCAAAGAUGCUGAGCACCAUGAGACUGAAGAUUGGCCAAAAGCAAGUCUAGAAGCAGCAAGUUGCGCUUGCUGAAAGAACUUCUAGAAGGGAAGUAGAGCUAGCAGGCUCUGAAAGCAACUCUUUAGUGAGGAGGUAUCAGAAGCAUCGCAGAAGCCAGGAGAAAGAUCCUGAUGGUGCGUCAGAAGUCAGAAAGUCAAACCUCUGAUAGACAAAAGAAUGCUCAGAAGGAAAGAAAGUUACAAGCAAGGAAGAUCCAAUGUUACUGUUGUAAGAGUUUGGGUCACUUUGCUAAGACUUGUUGGUCAAAACAAGUAGAGAAAUCAGAAGAAAGCAAAUAUAGCCCAGAGUUCUGAAUGACGAUCUUUAGUGCUAUUGAAUGGCCUCUGAAUCUGAUUAUGGGAUCUUGAUAGACUGCGUGGUAUACUGGACAACUGGCUGUUCAAAAUCAUCUUCUGGAAACAGAAAUGGCUGGUUUUGACUUUGUCUGAAAGAGGACAAAAGACAGGAUGUGCUGAUGACAAUAUCUUAGAUGCAGCAAGGUAUGGGAAAUGUCAAAGUGUUCUGAACAAAUCUCGGGAAAACAGCAAUUGAUUCAGAAGUGUGGUAUGUACCCUGGCUAUUCAGAAACAAUCUGAUGAGUGUGGGACAAUUAAUUGAGAAAGGUUUUUCAGUUACCAUGAAGGCAAUCUUUGCUGAAGCUGUAUGACUGCAAAAUCAGAAGUUGGAUUAUGGCAGUCCAGAACAGGGAGAGGAAUAGAUACAUACGAUGAUGUAGAACCUGCAGACUCGAAUGUCUUAGUGCCCAACAAGUUGCUGAGGAGAGUGAGUUGUGGCACAGAAGAAAACAUUUUGGUCAUUUGAAUUUUCAGAAAGCUUAAAAACAUCGUGAAUUCAAAGAAGUUUGGUACAUGGAACUUCCUUGCAAUAAGAGCCUGAAAAGUCAUGCAAAGUUUGCAUGGGAAGGAUGAACAACGCACGCAUUGCCAUUUGCGGUCAGAAACUGCUCAAGAGCAAAACAUGCCUUGGCGAGCUUUGUACAUCUGAUGUGUGUGGUCCAUUUCCAGUAGUAUCGAUUGGAGGGAAUAAAUACUUUGGUGUUAUUCUGUUUGAUGGAAUUCUACAGAAUGACAUGGGCAUUCCCGUUAUUAAGGUUUAAACACGAGGUGUGAUGAAUUCAAGAAGUUCAGAAUGAAGGCUGAGAAAUCAGAGUGGUCAGAAGUUGAAGAAUCUUAGAACUGACGGUGCGAGGUGAGGAUAACUCAAAGAGUUCCAGAAGUUCUGUGAGGAGAAUGGAAUUGAGCAUGGAGGUUACGCUCCUUAUACCCUCAACACAAUGGUCCUUGCUGAAAAGAAGAAACGCACUUUCUUGAUAUGGUGAGAAGCAUGCUAAAAGAGAAGAACACUUCUCAGAAGCUCUUGGGGAGAAGCUUGUUGCCACUGCAACGUAUGUACUCAACCGUGUCCUUACGAGAAGUUGAAGGAAAUAGUUCCCAAUACAGAAAGUGGAACUGGAGAUAAGCAAGUGUUAGUCAUCUGAAGGUUGUUGGUUCUGUUUGUGCCUAUAAACAUGUCAGAAGCCAGAAGACAGAAGCUGGAUAUAGAAGCAAAGUGAUGAUUCACUGCAUAGGAUACAAGUACAGGGCCAUACAAGCUCUAUUGUCGCAGAAACCAAUAAAAAUUGAAUUCAAGCAGAGAUGUGAUUGUGAAGAGGAUUUAGAAUUUUGGAAUUGGGAUAAGUCUCAAUCAUGAUUCUGAUGUUGAAACGUCUGAAGAAAGGCUCAGAGUUUACAAAUUUCUGAAGUUGGAGUAAACUCUGACGUUGAGUUCUGAUUUGAUAGUAUUCUGACUCUGGAGAGAGACUCAGAAGAUGAAGUUGACUCUGAUGACCAGACUCUAUGGUAAUCCAGAUUCCUGGUUGGCUAAUUCAGACUCUGGAAAUAUUGACCCCUGAAGAUGGUCAAAGCUCUGGAGGAAGUCAACCAUCUGAAGCUAAAACUCUGAUGCUCAGACUCUGAACAAGUUCAGAGACCAAAAGAAUCAGGAAACAGUCCCCAGAAGAUAUGCAGAAUUUGACACUGCUGCAAGACACUGAUAAGAUUCUGAAGGCAGAGUUAUUCAGGUGUGCGCAUGUUUAGUAGACUCUGACCCAUAAUCAGAAGAGGGCUCUUAAGCGAGCUCUGGCUGAAGGCCAUGAAGAACGAACUUGAUGCUUAAGAGAAACAAGACUUGGAUCUGACAGAAACUUCAAAAGACAAGAAAAGCCAUCCAGCGUCAGAUGGGUUUCAAGCGAAGUUAAAGCCACGAUGGUUUCAUUGGCAAACAUAAAGCAAGGUUGGUAAGCCAGAGGAUUUUCUAUCAGAACCUGGCGGAUUACUCUGAAGUGUUUUGCAACCUGUAGCAAGCAAUGAAAAAAAAAAAAAAAAAAAAAAAAAAAAAAAAAAAAAAAAAAAAAAAAAUCACAAAAAAAAAAAAAAAAAAAAAAAAAAAAAAAAAAUAAAAAAAAAAAAAAAAAAAAAAAAAAAAAAAACAUCAGAAUGGCUGAUGCGAAUGAGCUCUAACAGAAUUGGCUCUGAUGCAUUUAGAUGUAAAUCUGCAUUUCUGAACGCGUCCAUUAGAAGAGAGAAGUUUACGUUCAACACCUCUUGGAUUUGUGAAAAGAAUCAGGAAGGGAUGAGGUUCACAGAUUAUACAAAGCUGCUAUAUGGGAUUGAGAACAGAGCGCCCAGAGCUUUGGAAUCAGAAGAUUGGAUUAAUUUUUCAAGAAGCAAGGCUUUCAGAAUGUGAGAUGGAGUACGGGUGUCCUAUUGUUCAGCAUACUUCUGAAAGGGAAAUAUGACUUCUGGUAUGUUUAUAUGUUGAUGAUAUUACUGCUGACCUGGAAGUUCUGAACAGGAGAUAAGCCAAGUUCAGAAAGUUCUGAUGAAUGAAUUCCAAAUGACUGAUCUAGGCAAAAAUGACAUACUUUCUAGGGAUGGAGUUCAGAUACUCUGAGAUAAGGUAUUAUUUUGCAUAGCUCAGAGUAUGAAUUAGAACUUCUGAAGAGAUUUGAACUGAAGACAUUGUUAAGAUUGCUUGUCACACCUUUCUAGCUCAAACAGAACACUGGAUUCUGACUCUGAUGGAAAGGAUGGGACGGCUUAAACAACCAUUUAAACAGUUUGUGUUGGUUCUCUGAGGUAUUUGUUGCAUAACCAAACCUGAUAUUUGCUAUUUCAGUUGGAUGGUUAGUAGGUUCAAUAGAGUAAAACCUAAGGUGGCCCAUACCAGCUGUUGUCAGAUCUUCUGAGGUAUACAGGGAAACUCUUGAAGUAUGGAGUAUUAUUUUCUUCUGGAAAAGGAUGAGUCAGACUUCUGAGUUAUUCAGAUUCUGAUUUGGUGUGGAGACAGAAGUUGACAGAGAAGUACGUUGGGUACUUAUUUCAAUUUCUGGAGGUCCCAUUUUCUUGUGUUUUCAAGAAGGCAACCUGUUUUUGGCGUUUCAAACUUGUGAAGCCUGAAUACAUUGCAGUGCUGUUACUGCCAUGCCAAGCUGUGUGGAUCUGAAUUUAUUGCAGGAUCUAAAGAUUGAAGUAAACAAACCUCUGAAGCUGAUGAUUGACAACAAGUCUGCAAUCAAUCUUGCCAGAAAACCCAGUGUUUGCAUGGGAGAAGCAAGCACAUGAGACCAAGUAAUCAUUUUCUGAGACAUCAAGUUCACGAGGAGGUUAGAAGUUGUACACUGCAGCACUCAGAACAGUUGGCAGAGUUCUGACGAAAGCUAUCAAGACUGAUCAAUUUCUCAGAUUAAGGAUGAAAUUGGUGUUACAAGUUUGAUUGGAAUAUGAAUUAGGAUGGUCAUUAGAAGUAAUUUAUUUAUAAUUAUCAUUAUUUUAUUAAUUAUAUUAUCUUCUAGCCCUAAGUUUGUAGAGGGUAUUUUAGUAUUUCUAUCCUAUUCUAGUAACCCUAGUUUUAGCUUAUAAAUAGGGUGACAAUCAUUGUAACUUUUAUCAUGUUUUGUAGCCGUCAUUCUUAAUACAAUAUUUCCAUUCAUUCUACCUUUGCACCAACAUAUCCCGCCACAUCACUUUUAUUUUUAAAAUACGGCUAUGAUUUCACAAUAUAAAAUUUUUUGAUUGCAUGUAAGUGUAAUACUUUUUUACAUAUUGACAGUGCAUUACCUUUAACAUCUAAUUGAUUCUAUUUAUUUUUCUGAAUAUUUUGAUAAAGAAAUCAAAAUAAAAGGACUCAAAAUCAAUAAAAUCCGGACCCAAAAAAAUGUUCAAAAUAUUUAAAUAAAUGCAUUAAAAUUAAAAUGAUCGGCGCGAAAUAAACUUUUUAAAAAUAGAUAGGUUUUGAUCCAGUUUUGAAGUAAAAAAUAUCGGUUAAAAAAAUUCAAGCAGAUCAAAAUGUGAUCGUAAAAGGAGUCGAAAAUUAAAACGAGCACACCAGAUUAAACUACGCGAAUCAUAGAUUAAUAAAACUGAUAGCUGCAGGUCCGAUCUCGAAAUUUUUUCGCCUGCUAAUUUCACGCACAUUUGAUAAAUAAUUCAACCGAUAUGUAUGUAUAUCAAAAAUUUAUUUUGAGCAACUUUCUAAAUAUUAUGCGGAAAGAAAUGCAUGCUAUGAUGUGGAAAUGAUACAAAUAUCUAAUGAAUGCAUUGAUUUAUUAGUCGAGGGAUAAAAUUGGAAUAUGAUAAGUUAGUGUUGAAUCGUCUUUCAACUAUAUUGAAUUUGGCGAGGCGUGGAAUAUUGGUCGGUCAUGAUAAGGUGCAUCCUUUGUGUUUUGGAGAAAGUGAGGAUGUUGAGCACCUUUUCAGUGAGUUUUCGAUUUCAGUGGGUUGGUGGCAAAAUUCUUAUGAUUGGCUUCAAGUAGUUAUGCCUUUGUCACCGGCUUCUAUUAUCGAGCGUUUGCAAGCGUUGGAGAGUUGUAUCAAGUGUAAGUUCAAGUUCGAUACGGGUUGGAUUUUUGGUUUAACCAUUAGUUGAAUUAUUUGGACAUGUAGAAAUGCUAUUCUUUUUAGGGAGAAUUGUUGUUUAAGUUUUACCGUUUAAGGAUGAUCAAACUUUUGUUGUGGGAAUGGUUUCUUGCAGUUCACAAACCGGGUAGAAAUUUAUUACGGUCGGAUUGAUGUUUCUCCGGCAACAGGUUUGGGGUUGAACACCCCUUAUACCUUUUAAUUCAUUCUUUUGCUUAUAAAAAAAACAUUAUUCAAGUUUUAAGUUUAAUCAUAAAACAAUACGCAUACACACACUUUAUCAUAAAACUACUUUGAUCCAUUUAUGUAUAUUAGGAAAACAAGCAGUAUGAAUAUCAACUUUUACGUAUUUAUGUAACUACAAACAUAAUUGUAUUUAUGAAAGCACCAACAAUUCUGUAAAUACAGUUUAGUUGAUAACUGUAUCCAAGGAUAUCUGCUAUGUUGAACCUGUGAUCGACCUUGCGAUUCUUCUCCAAAUUUAUGAUGUGAUUAUCAUCACUAUACUAUUUGACCCAAAAACACAACAACAAUACUAUAACUGGAAAUGUGUCCAAGAUCCUGCCAACUUUUAUGACUUUACCGGCCUUAAGUAACACAUAAUUUAUUCAUUUGCUAAUAUGCCCUCCAAUCCAUAAUUAAUUAACAAGUCUGCAAUUCUUUCUAAUCUCCCCAUUAGUCCCCGUGAGAGGACUUAUUCUACUCAACUUUAUCAUAGCAGCAGCAAAGUCAUUUAAAAAAGUAGCACUAUUAUUACUAUAACUCGUAACCAAACUGUCUUGAGAUCCAUUAUUGAAAAGAACUUGAUCAGAAUGGAAUAGUCCUUUUUUAGCAACAAGAUCUUUAUAGUAAUUGUUGUCAAAAGUAGUUGGAGUGAGAGUAUCA